rnacentral:rRNA from 1 species
UACAGAGACUGCAAGCGUUAUUCGGAUUCACUGGGCGUAAAGGGUGCGCAGGCGGUUGGGUGUGUCAGAUGUGAAAAUCCCGAGGCUCAACCUCGGAACUGCGUCUGAAACUACUCGACUAGAGUACUGGAGAGGGUAACGGAAUUCACGGUGUAGCAGUGAAAUGCGUAGAUAUCGUGAGGAACACCAGAGGCGAAGGCGGUUACCUGGACAGUUACUGACGCUCAGGCACGAAAGCAUGGGGGAGCAAAAAGGG